GACAGCAGAGCCGAUCGCAAAGAUGCCAAUGCCAAUGGUUGUGUUGUCUCUCAGGUAGCGAGAUCGAAAAUGCAUGGACUUUGUAGCCGCAGCGGAUGAAAAUGUACCCAUCAGAAUCAAAUAGUUUUGGGGUUUCCAAACGCACGCACACACACAAACACGCGCGCGCAAACUCACACACAAACACACACACACACACACACACACACACACACACACACACACACACACACACACACACACACACACACACACACACACACACACACACACACACACACACACACACACACACACACACACACACACACACACACACACACACACACACACACACACACACACACACACACACACACACACACACACACACACACACACACACACACACACACACACACACACACACACACACACACACACACACAAACCUGUCCCAACAGGUGCAUACUGCGUUGAAAAAACCAGGGUCCUAUACAAUGUCUAGACUAACUAAACAAACGUGCCUUCGGUUGAUACAACUUGUGUUAAACUACACCGUUUCUUUUAUUCGAACAAGUGUUCCACGUGCCACUUGGCAUGAAGCACGUGCUGCAUUUGACCAGUGCAGAAGGGAGUGUCAUGAUCCAGUUACACGCUAUCGAUAGAACCAACAGCUACCGCAGUGUUAUCGUUGCUCGCGUUCCGAUGCAUCCUCAACGUAUACCAGUUAUUAUGACGGUGUGAAGUUUGUAUUCCGUUCUUUACGCGCAUAUUAUAUGCAGCUUUUCCUUUCAACGGCUUUAUCAACUCAACCAUAAUUUUUAUUCACAAUUACACCACGGCGGCCGUCAGUGCUUUUAAAAUUGUUAUGCCAUCCGAUAGAUAAUCUUUCGGAGUAUCGAUCAAGUUUCUAUAAUGGAAGUUUAUCAUACUUUGUCUGCACUGGGGAAAAUGUUAAAUAAACAUUACAAACAUGAUUAAAUAACAUGUAAACAGUGAAAAAACUUCACGAUGAGAGUUAUGUUUUAGAUGGGUCGAUGUUUGUAACAACAUUCUAAACAUACUGUUAAAUCGACAUCUCAAAAAAGACAUCAUUUUAUUCAAAACUAGAUCGUUAUACUUUGUAUUGAACGAGCAAUAGAUACAACUAUGACAAUACGUAUAACAUACGUAAACGUACGUAAACAACAAGUGCAGUAUGACAAGGACAAGAAUAACAUUGUCUAUUAAAACAUUGCUUCCAUAUUUAGUCGACACGUCUGAAACGAUACAAGAACAGUAUGGCGAGGGGUUGAGUAUUAUUAUAAAGGCAUGUCGCAUGCUUGUAAAUAUGAGUUUUUCUUAGACGCUCUUGGUGGCUGGGGUGUUACUUGUUGUGCUGCUGUGAUCUUUUUGCUACUAAUGUUUUCUUUGGUGAACAGAUUGCUUACAGACAGCCAAAUCGAAUGUGAAAAAAGUAGUGCAACAUGUUCAAAUAAAGUGGCUGAAAGUAAAGCCGUAACUUCAACUGAUCCCAACUCAAAUGUGCGAAAUUUACGCAAAAAAAGAUAUUUAAGUCCUCCGCAACCAGGACCGCUAGUGCAGCAAACUUAUGAGAAACAGCUCUGUCCUCAGCAAAAUGCUCGUGAUUAUCAAUCACAUUACGUCGAUCCUAAACAAGGUCACCAGCCUAAUGGGGCACUGCCUGCAUUACAGCCAUAUCAGUACUCCAUCGGACCUUCCUGGAAUUCGUCAUCAAGAAAUGGCAAAGAAUGGAAUUUACAAUCAAGAAACAAAGCAGCCUAUAUCAAAAAAUGCAUGAGAGAACUACUGCUACUGUCCUUUUCCGCUAUUAGCAAAGAACAAGAUGUGUUAUCAUGGCAUAACUUGUUUUCCAAAAACAACUACCUUAGGAAUCACUACUACAUCCACUACAACUGCAGCUACCACAUCUUCAACUGCAACAGAAACUACUACAACUCCACCAACGACGACAACAACUACAACAGUACCUUUAGAACCCAACCAACAAUUUCUUAUAUUUUUGACGUCGUCUGAACGUCGUGCGCAGUUUCAAGCCACGUGGGGUUAAAUCCCGCCAUGCAAUUUACGUUUUGCAAGAGCGCGCGAUGACUCCCAUGCCAGAUAAGUUAUUAGCUCAUAAAAAAUAAAAUAGCUUGCAAGGUUGGCUUUUCAUCGGGAGUUUUUCUGGCAAGAAAAAAGUACAGGACCAAAUUUAAAUGGGAUUUUUUUUUACCACACUCAUACUCCCCGGUGCCUUUUCCUUUCCUUUUUGGGCGCUCCUCCCUUCCUUUGAGUUGCACGUGUCAUUCCGUCAUUCCCGUAUGUACGGGGCUCUUUAUUCGUAGUUGUACAUCAUAUACAGUGGCGGCUACCUAAAGUCGGACACUGAAGACUAAAGUCGGAAGUCUGAUUUUUUGCAUGUGCAUAGCCAAGGAGUGUCCAGAAAAGACGUGUGAAGAAUGUUUUUCGAUAAGCGGUCUAGUGAACUGUCCUGGGUGCCCCAAAUCCAGAUAAAAGGUGAAAAUAUGAGGUGUUCGACUUUAGGUGGGUGCCAAUGUAUAUGCUGUAUGUUUGUUUUGCCUGUGACAUUGACAAUGUGCGAAUCGAUUAAUUCUGGAAUUGAAGUAAUAUUAUUGGUACCAUAUUGGUGAAUUCCGUAGCGUGUCGUUUCUGAUGACGCCGUUUGAUUUCCAUGCCAAUCAAUGGGAAUGAAGCUAAUAUCAAACGAGUUUAGGUAAAUAUUUUAUUUCAAUCGCGGAAAUAAGUUUUUUUUUUCAUGUAUGGUUCUUGAUUUUUGUGGAUGAACUUGACUCAAUUUAAGCUGGUUUUAACGACAAUAAGAGAAAAUGUAUGAAUGUGUCAAACAGUUUCUAAUCCUCAUUUUCUGGAAAAUUAACAAACAAUUCAGUGAGAUUUGUCCACAUCCAAUGUACAGAAAGAUAUUACUUUCUCUCAAUCAUUUAUCACCCAUAACCACACCAUCUUAUACACACGCGACCGAGGCGAAUGAGGCCAAUUUGCCAACUGUUGUUACGCGUGUAGCAAUCUGUAUUUGAAUACUAAAGAGAAGGGAUGACAAAAAUAUACAAACUAACUUUUGCAUUUUGGUGAUUUUUGAAGCGAAUUGAGGUUGCAUAUUUGCAAAUUUGCGGCUAACCACCAUUGGCAAUGACGCCCUGUUCCUGAUCAGCAGUUUGGCAAUGAACUUGAUUGACCCAUUUAGUUUUUUUAUACAGACUUUGUGCCAAUUAGCCUCAUUCGCAUCCUUUAAUCAGUUUUUUUUUUCAAUAUAGUUUAUUGUCUACCUAAGGUUUAACAAUCUCUAAUAAACUAAAAGCGAUGGAAAACUGAGGAAUAAGGGGUUAGGAAGGAUUAGGAAAAAAUAGGAAAUGUAUAGCGGAACGUGGCAUAUGAACAAUUUAAAUCAAACAAAUGAGAAAAAAUAUUGCAAGAGCGUAUGCAUUGCAAAAGUGGAUCAUAGUUACCGGAUUCAGUGGGUCUUCUUUCUAUGGUUUUCUAUGGUCCGAGUCGAAGAGAGUGUUAGGAGGAGGAGCGUAAAAAUUUAAUAAGGAAAGAAGGGUCGGGCAGUCUAUUUGGUGAAGGAGAAUCGAUGCGAUAAAAGACGCACGCUGUGAUUCUAGGUAUUCCAGACCUAGGAUUGAACAGCGAUUUGAGGGGAGGGGGGAGUCAGCACCAAAACAUUUACGGAACGCGAAACGGGUAUACGACUUUUGGAUUCGUUCGAUUAGUGAUGGGAAAAAUGAAAUUUUUAUCGGAAUCGAUUCAGGCCAGCUCCGCAUUUUUCUGGAAUCGAUUGCGGAUAGUAGGUCCGGAAUCAGUUUCCGAAUCGAUUCUGGAAUCGGCUCCAGAAUUGAUUCCAAAAUCGGCUCUAGAAUCGGAAUCGGUUCUGGAAUCGACGUCGGCUCUCGAAUAGGAAUCGGCUCCCAAACGGUGUCAGUUACGGCAUCGCCAUAAAAAUAGGCGUUUGAGUCCAAUCUACGCAUUGAUAACCGCAAAAAAAUCAAAAUUUACUUGUAAAAGAUCCAUUCUCAUGGAGAUUCCCAGACUGAUUUCGAUUCCAAAGCUUAUUUUUUCAAUUCAAGAACUAAUUCAAAUUCCGGAGCUAAUUCUAAAGGAACUCUGUUCUUUUGAAUACCUUGGAAGUUUUUUUUUAUUUUUAACAAGUUUCUCUUUUAUGCGACCGUUCUCGUCAAUGGUUGAUUUGCGACUAACUAAAUGAAUCGAUCGUUCCUUCAUAUAUUAAAGUCUACUUCGAUUACACGGCUACUUCGUUUACAAUUUAUUUCGUAAUUCUAUAUAAUGCUUUUACACAACUCUAAUAAGUGAGUAUUAUUUCAUUUGAAUUCUUUUUUGAUAUUAUAAUUCUAAUUAAAUAGUUCAUCUAGAUUAUAAUGGAGCUCCCACUAAUUUUAAGAACUAUAAUCUAAUUAUCUUCUACUAUUUACACAUUACUUGAUCUCGGCUUAUGGCAACUAGACUUAUUUAUGUAUUUGUUUCGUUUUAAAUUAUCACUUUGGUUAAAUUUUAGCUGCAUCCAAUCUUUUAAUGUUUUAUCCGAGCAAUUGCCUCCUAAUUCUUGUAUAGCUAGUACUAUAUUUUUAUAUUUACACAAAGGUAUUUUAUCUCCUACUUUUGCUCUUCCUUUCCGCGAAUAUUGCAAUAAAAUGUUAGGCCCUAGUAUUAAGUGAAGAGCGUCACAAGCACGUUGUUUAAAAUCGCCUUCUACAAUAUUUUGUUUCACCCAUUGCACAAAUUCAUCACGGCACUCUUUUGUUUUCAGUUUCUCCUCCAGGGUAUUCAUCUCCUCAAUGGACUCCACUGUGCAAAAGGUUGGCGAUGGGGUUUUAUCUGUGAGCUCAGAACAUCGAGCUUGUUGUUCAUCACAUCGUUCUGGACCUUUAGCUGAGCUACCAUUCGGCGUAACAUCAUACAUUCUUUUGCCAAAUCAGUUGGUACUGACACGUUGUUGUUUUUGUCCUCCAUCUAAACAAGUUUUUUUUUAUAGAGUUUGUCAUGGAGUCAUGGAGUAUUUAAACGUUUCCUAUGAGUAUUGUUUUAUCUUGUGUGUGCAAAUCUAUAUCGACCAGUUAAGCUUUUUUUGUCAAACAAUGAGAAGUUCUACACGAAGUGAAUCUAGUGAACAAUACAAUCUCUGAAAUUCUUUGAA